rnacentral:tRNA from 1 species
UGUCCCUGGAGUGUGCCGGAUUCGCACGCGAGCCCGCGAAGCUCGUAGAUCAGGUUCAAUUCCUGACAGGGGCAU